AGUGUGAUUGCUGGAUUGAAUGGUUAAAGUAUGUUUACUUUUGUAAAAAACUGCCAAAUUGUCUUCCAAAGUGGCUGUACCAUUUUGUAUUUCCACCAGCAAU
rnacentral:pre_miRNA from 2 species